AAAUUUAAAUAUGAGAUUUCAAUUUUUUAUCUUUUGGAUAAAUUCAUGAAUACGUCAAUUAAUGAUGAUAGCAUAAAGGAUAAUGUCUUUGUUACGAAGGCGAAAGAUGGUCAAUGUACCAGAGAAUUCAGGAGAAACGAUAUCUUUUUUUUUUUUCCAACAAUAAUAUAGAAUUAGCUCAAGUGAGCCAAUUAGGAGGACAGUUGUUUACAAACUUAAUGAGAUGCGGAGAGGAACGAGCUUGUCGUGCCAGGUAGUCCGCUUUUACAUUUAGAUUUCGUGAAAUAAGAGAUAAAGAAGAAGUUGAGAAUUCUUCCCUAUCCAUCUCGAUAUCGUCCAGGUAAACAGAAAAUGCUGGCCAUUCUGAAGGGGAAGAC
rnacentral:lncRNA from 1 species